rnacentral:lncRNA from 1 species
GAGAUGGCAGGAGUGCGUAACGGCACUAGCGCAUGCAGGCGCGACGUGCGCAUGCGGGGCGACGUGCGCGGGCGCAUCUCCUCCCGCUAGACCCGGUCAGGUUGCGGGCGUGGACGUCUUCCAACAGCCCCCCGCAGUCGAAACGGGGUCGGCGACGACGUUGAGGCUGGACCGGAACUCGAUGAAGACGCUCGUGGGCAACCCCUUGGUGAAGAUGUCGGCGAACUGCGACGUAGUGGGGACAUGGAGAACGCGGACAUCUCCAAAGGCGACGCGGUC